rnacentral:rRNA from 1 species
GAUGAACGCUGGCGGCGUGCCUAAUACAUGCCAGUCGAGCGAACGGACGAGAAGCUUGCUUUUCUGAUGUUAGCGGCGGACGGGUGAGUAACACGUGGAUAACCUACCUAUAAGACUGGGAUAACUUCGGGAAACCGGAGCUAAUACCGGAUAAUAUUUUGAACCGCAUGGUUCAAAAGUGAAAGAAGGUCUUGCUGUCACUUAUAGAUGGAUCCGCGCUGCAUUAGCUAGUUGGUAAGGUAACGGCUUACCAAGGCAACGAUGCAUAGCCGACCUGAGAGGGUGAUCGGCCACACUGGAACUGAGACACGGUCCAGACUCCUACGGGAGGCAGCAGUAGGGAAUCUUCCGCAAUGGGCGAAAGCCUGACGGAGCAACGCCGCGUGAGUGAUGAAGGUCUUCGGAUCGUAAAACUCUGUUAUUAGGGAAGAACAUAUGUGUAAGUAACUGUGCACAUCUUGACGGUACCUAAUCAGAAAGCCACGGCUAACUACGUG